AAGUUGACUGUGAAAAGGGAUAGUACAUAGGAGUAUUUGUUAUCAGAGAGGAAACCAGGAGGUGUGAAGUUUCCAGCAGAUCCUUAUGGAACCUGCCUUGGAGUCUCUGCUGGAAACGGCAGCGCAGGUCAGCGUUACGGAUCAGAUGAGUGAAUUCAUGAUUUGAAUUAAUCAGGGUGGUACCGCCGGACGAUUUCGGUCCCUAUG
rnacentral:ncRNA from 1 species